rnacentral:rRNA from 1 species
GGGUUCCUGGGCCAGGCCAGUCCGCCCAGGGUGAGUCGGGACCUAAGGCGAGGCCGACAGGCGUAGUCGAUGGACAACGGGUUGAUAUUCCCGUACCCGUGUAUAAGCGUCCCUGAUGAAUCAGAGGUACUAACCGCCCAAAUCCAGAAUCACUGAUCCCUUCGGGGUGAUGGUUUCUGGGGCUGCGCGGGACCUUCUCUGGUAGUAGUCAAGCGAUGGGGUGACGCAGGUAGGUAGCCGUACCAGUCAGUGGUAAUACUGGGGUAAACCUGUAGGGAGAAACGUAGGCAAAUCCGCGUUUCAUAUAUCCUGAGAGGUGAUG